UUAGUUGGUGGAGUGAUUUGUCUGGUUAAUUCCGAUAACGAACGAGACCUUAACCUGCUAACUAGUACAACUUAUUUCGAUAGGUUGCGACUUCUUAGAGGGACUGUCUGUGUCGAGCAGAAGGAAGUUUGAGGCAAUAACAGGU
rnacentral:rRNA from 1 species